GAAAACUCACCAGGUCAGGACACGGUAAGGAUUGACGGACUGAAGGCUCUUUCUCGAUUCCGUGGAAAGUGGUGCAUGGCCGUUUUUGGUUGGUGGAUCGAUCCGUCUGGUUAAUUCCGUUAACGAACGAGACCUCGGCACUCCGAAUAGCGCGGCGGACGUCGCGGCCUCCGGGCCGUCUUCCGCACGAGCUUCUUAGAGGGACCGUCCCCCGCCGGGGAAGGAGGUGCGAGGCAACGACAGGUCUGUGAUGCCCUUAGAUGUUCUGGGCCGCACGCGCAUUACACUGACGCGUCCAACGGGUGACUCCCGACCCGAAGGGGCCGGGGAAUCCGCAAGGCGCGUCGUGAUGGGGAUUGAACGUUGCAAUUGUUGUUCACGAACGAGGAAUUCCUAGUAGGCGCGGGUCAUCAACCCGCGCCGAUUACGUCCCUG
rnacentral:rRNA from 1 species